UUAACCAUAGAACUGCUUGGGAAACUGAUAAUCUAGAGUGAGGGAGAGGCAGAUGGAAUUGGUGGUGUAGGGGUAAAAUCCGUAGAGAUCACCAGGAAUACCCAUUGCGAAGGCGAUCUGCUGGAACUCAACUGACGCUAAUGCGUGAAAGCGUGGGGAGCAAACAGGAUUAGAUACCCUGGUAGUCCACGCCCUAAACGAUGUAUACUAGUUGUUGCUAAGCUAGUCUUGGCAGUAAUGCACCUAACGGAUUAAGUAUACCGCCUGGGGAGUACGGUCGCAAGAUUAAAACUCAAAGGAAUAGACGGGGACCCGCACAAGCGGUGGAGCAUGUGGUUUAAUUCGAAGAUACGCGAAGAACCUUACCCGGACUUGAUAUCUAACAAAUCAUCUAGAGAUAGAAGAGUGUCUGCUUGCAGAAAUGUUAAGACAGGUGCUGCACGGCUGUCGUCAGCUCGUGUCGUGAGAUGUUGGGUUAAGUCCCGCAACGAGCGCAACCCACGUCAUUAGUUGCUAACAGUUCGGCUGAGCACUCUAAUGAGACUGCCUUCGUAAGGAGGAGGAAGGUGUGGACGACGUCAAGUCAUCAUGGCCCUUAUGUCCGGGGCGACACACGUGCUACAAUGGCAUAUACAAUGAGAAGCAAUAUCGCGAGAUGGAGCAAAUCUAUAAAAUAUGUCCCAGUUCGGAUUGGAGUCUGCAACUCGACUCCAUGAAGCCGGAAUCGCUAGUAAUCGUAGAUCAGCCAUGCUACGGUGAAUACGUUCCCGGGUCUUGUACUCACCUCCCGUCACACCAUGGGAGUUGAUUUCACUCGAAGCCGGAAUACUAAAUUAGUU
rnacentral:rRNA from 1 species